ACGCUCGACACCUACGUGAGGCAGCAGUCGGGAAUAUUGCGCAAUGGAGGAAACUCUGACGCAGUGACGCCGCGUAUGGGAAGAAGGUUUUCGGAUUGUAAACCAUUUUAGACAAGGAAGAAACAAGACAGUACUUGUAGAAUAAGCUCCGGCUAACUACGUGCCAGCAGCCGCGGUAAUCUGAGCGGGCUGGCAAGGC
rnacentral:rRNA from 1 species